AUUGAACGCUUGCGGCAUGCUUUACACAUGCGAGUCUAACCACCGCGCCGGCUUCGGCCUUGUGGCGCGUGGCCAACGCGUUUAUCCUCCCUCGGCCCCUGCCCCGUAGUGGGGGGUAGCCUGGCGAAAGCCGGAUUCAUACCGCGUGCGAACUGAGGGGGACAGCGGGGGACCGAAAGGCCUCGCGCUAUUGGAGCGGCCGAUGUCGGAUUAGCUCGUUGGUGGGGUAAAGGCUUACCAAGGCGACGAUCCGUAGCUGAUCUGAGAGGACGACCAGCCACACUGGGACUGAGACACGGCCCAGAGUCCUACGGGAGGCAGCAGUGGGGAAUUUUGGACAAUGGGGGCAACCCUGAUCCAGCCAUGCCGCGUGCGGGAAGAAGGCCUGCGGGUUGUAAACCGCUUUUGUUCGGGAAGAAAUCCUCUGGGCUAAUACCCCGGGGGGAUGACGGUACCGGAAGAAUAAGCACCGGCUAACUACGUG
rnacentral:rRNA from 1 species